CUGGCGGCGUGCCUAACACAUGCAAGUCGAACGAGAAAGUGGAGCAAUCCAUGAGUACAGUGGCGUACGGGUGAGUAACACGUGACUAACCUACCCUCGGGUGGGGAAUAACUUCGGGAAACCGAGGCUAAUACCGCAUAACAUCUACGGAUCAAAUGCGCAAGCAGCUUGAGGAGGGGGUCGCGGCUGAUUAGCUAGUUGGCGGGGUAACGGCCCACCAAGGCAAUGAUCAGUAGCCGGCCUGAGAGGGCGCACGGCCACACUGGAACUGAAACACGGUCCAGACUCCUACGGGAGGCAGCAGUGGGGAAUUUUGCGCAAUGGGGGAAACCCUGACGCAGCAACGCCGCGUGGAGGAUGAAGCCCCUUGGGGUGUAAACUCCUUUCGAUCGGGACGAUUAUGACGGUACCGGAUGAAGAAGCACCGGCUAACUCUGUGCCAGCAGCCGCGGUAAUACAGAGGGUGCAAGCGUUGUUCGGAAUUAUUGGGCGUAAAGGGUGCGUANGCGGUGCGGUAAGUCUUCUGUGAAACCUCC
rnacentral:rRNA from 1 species